rnacentral:rRNA from 1 species
UACGGGGGGGGUAAGCGUUGUUCGGAAUUACUGGGCGUAAAGGGCUCGUAGGCGGCCAACUAAGUCAGACGUGAAAUCCCUCAGCUUAACUGGGGAACUGCGUCUGAUACUGGAUGGCUUGGAUUCGGGAGAGGAAUGCGGAAUUCCAGGUGUAGCGGUGAAAUGCGUAGAUAUCUGGAGGAACACCGGUGGCGAAGGCGGCAUCCUGGACCAAUACUGACACUGAGGAGCGAAAGCCAGGGGAGCAAACGGG